UACGAACGCUGGCGGCGUGCUUAACACAUGCAAGUCGAACGGAAAGGCCCUGCUUGUGUGGGGUUCUCGAGUGGCGAACGGGUGAGUAACACGUGAGUAACCUGCCCUUGACUUGGUGAUAACUUCAAGAAACUGGUGCUAAUGCCUAAUAGGAGCUCCUGCUGCUGGGUGGGGUUUGGAAAGUUUAGGCGGUUGGGGGUGGACUCGCGGCUUAUCAGCUUGUUGGGGGGGUAGUGGCUUACCAAGGCUUUGACGGGUAGCCGGCCUGGGAGGGUGAACGGCCACAUUGGGACUGAGAUACGGACCAGACUCCUACGGGAGGCAGCAGUGGGGAAUAUUGCACAAUGGGCGGAAGCCUGAUGAAGCAACGCCGCGUGCGGGGUGACGGCCUUCGGGUUGUAAACCGCUUUAGCCUGUGACGAAGCGUGAGUGACGGUAAUGGGUAAAGAAGCACCGGCUAACUACGUG
rnacentral:rRNA from 1 species